GCAGUUAGUCAGACGACUGCACUACUUGUGAGGAAAGUCCGAGCAUCACAGGGCAGAGUGGCAGAGAAAUCCUGCCGAAGGCAACUUUAGGGAAAGUGCAACAGAAAAUAACCGCGUUUAUACGCAAGGGUGAAAAGGUGCGGUAAGAGCGCACCGGCAGUUCGGCGACGAAAUUGGCCGUGUAAACCCCACUCGAUGCAAGAGAAAAGGGACUAUGGAUUGCCCGU
rnacentral:RNase_P_RNA from 1 species